AGGCGCAAGAGUUAAGAGUGUAUUUUACUUCAGAUGGUGGUAGCAGAUUAGCUGAGAUGGAGGCUGAAGUAGGCUGAAAGCAAGACUUGUGAUGGACCGUGAUCCUGAAACAGAGAGAACAAAGUCACUACAGGAUCAGCGACGGGACCAGACAAACCCAGAAGAUGCUUGUGUCAUGGACUGACAGACAAGUAGCAAGGAAGAUCCAUCAUUCAAGCAUGGCAAUCAAAAUCCCAGCGAUUAACCUGUUCUGCCACCUCACAGUGAGAAGGGCUGCUGGACUGAAGCUGAACUUAAGAUGAGGCAAAUGAAUUUAAAAGGGACCAGGGGGUGGCAGCGAGCUUGAAAAUCAAAGCUGACAUCCGGCGCUCAGCAGAGGAG